UGGGGAAUUUUGGACAAUGGGCGAAAGCCUGAUCCCAGCAAUGCCGCGUGUGUGAAGAAGGCCUUCGGGUUGUAAAGCACUUUUGUCCGGAAAGAAAUCCUUGGCUCUAAUACAGUCGGGGGAUGACGGUACCGGAAGAAUAAGCACCGGCUAACUACGUGCCAGCAGCCGCGGUAAUACGUAGGGUGCAAGCGUUAAUCGGAAUUACUGGGCGUAAAGCGUGCGCAGGCGGUUUGCUAAGACCGAUGUGAAAUCCCCGGGCUCAACCUGGGAACUGCAUUGGUGACUGGCAGGCUAGAGUAUGGCAGAGGGGGGUAGAAUUCCACGUGUAGCAGUGAAAUGCGUAGAGAUGUGGAGGAAUACCGAUGGCGAAGGCAGCCCCCUGGGCCAAUACUGACGCUCAUGCACGAAAGCGUGGGGAGCAAACAGGAUUAGAUACCCUGGUAGUCCACGCCCUAAACGAUGUCAACUAGUUGUUGGGGAUUCAUUUCCUUAGUAACGUAGCUAACGCGUGAAGUUGACCGCCUGGGGAGUACGGUCGCAAGAUUAAAACUUAAAUGAAUUGACGGGGUCAUAGCUGUUUCCU
rnacentral:rRNA from 1 species